rnacentral:rRNA from 1 species
AGACCCGAAACCCGGUGAUCUAGCCAUGGGCAGGUUGAAGGUUGGGUAACACUAACUGGAGGACCGAACCGACUAAUGUUGAAAAAUUAGCGGAUGACCUGUGGCUGGGGGUGAAAGGCCAAUCAAACCGGGAGAUAGCUGGUUCUCCCCGAAAGCUAUUUAGGUAGCGCCUCGUGAAUUCAUCUCCGGGGGUAGAGCACUGUUUCGGCUAGGGGGCCAUCCCGGCUUACCAACCCGAUGCAAACUGCGAAUACCGGAGAAUGUUAUCACGGGAGACACACGGCGGGUGCUAACGUCCGUCGUGAAGAGGGAAACAACCCAGACCGCCAGCUAAGGUCCCAAAGUCAUGGUUAAGUGGGAAACGAUGUGGGAAGGCCCAGACAGCCAGGAUGUUGGCUUAGAAGCAGCCAUCAUUUAAAGAAAGCGUAAUAGCUCACUGGUCGAGUCGGCCUGCGCGGAAGAUGUAACGGGGCUAAACCAUGCACCGAAGCUGCGGCAGCGACACUGUGUGUUGUUGGGUAGGGGAGCGUUCUGUAAGCCUGUGAAGGUGUGUCGUGAGGCAUGCUGGAGGUAUCAGAAGUGCGAAUGCUGACAUAAGUAACGAUAAAGCGGGUGAAAAGCCCGCUCGCCGGAAGACCAAGGGUUCCUGUCCAACGUUAAUCGGGGCAGGGUGAGUCGACCCCUAAGGCGAGGCCGAAAGGCGUAGUCGAUGGGAAACGGGUUAAUAUUCCCGUACUUGGUGUUACUGCGAAGGGGGGACGGAGAAGGCUAUGUUGGCCGGGCGACGGUUGUCCCGGUUUAAGCGUGUAGGCUGGUUUUCCAGGCAAAUCCGGAAAAUCAAGGCUGAGGCGUGACGACGAGGCACUACGGUGCUGAAGCAACAAAUGCCCUGCUUCCAGGAAAAGCCUCUAAGCAUCAGGUAACACGAAAUCGUACCCCAAACCGACACAGGUGGUCAGGUAGAGAAUACCAAGGCGCUUGAGAGAACUCGGGUGAAGGAACUAGGCAAAAUGGUGCCGUAACUUCGGGAGAAGGCACGCUGAUAUGUAGGUGAAGCGGUUUACCCGUGGAGCUGAAAUCAGUCGAAGAUACCAGCUGGCUGCAACUGUUUAUUAAAAACACAGCACUGUGCAAACACGAAAGUGGACGUAUACGGUGUGACGCCUGCCCGGUGCCGGAAGGUUAAUUGAUGGGGUCAGCGCAAGCGAAGCUCCUGAUCGAAGCCCCGGUAAACGGCGGCCGUAACUAUAACGGUCCUAAGGUAGCGAAAUUCCUUGUCGGGUAAGUUCCGACCUGCACGAAUGGCGUAAUGAUGGCCAGGCUGUCUCCACCCGAGACUCAGUGAAAUUGAACUCGCUGUGAAGAUGCAGUGUACCCGCGGCAAGACGGAAAGACCCCGUGAACCUUUACUAUAGCUUGACACUGAACAUUGAGCCUUGAUGUGUAGGAUAGGUGGGAGGCUUUGAAGUGUGGACGCCAGUCUGCAUGGAGCCG